CGUUGCUUUUGCAACCACCAAUGAUUCAGUAGCCUGUGAGAAUCGCCUUCGGGUGGCUACAACAAAAGCUCCUGUAACCUGAAAAGGGGCAAAAAAUUGGUAAAUCUGCACACCUUUGAGAGCAGAUAUCGUCAAUUUAAGCGCAC
rfam:Kluyvera ascorbata ATCC 33433 GKAS.assembly.005, whole genome shotgun sequence.